rnacentral:siRNA from 1 species
GGGAUGCAUGCCUUUAAUUAAAUA